GGGUGACGAGCGGNGGACGGGUGAGUNAUGUCUGGGAAACCGCUGAUGGAGGGGGAUAACUACUGGAAACGGUAGCUAAUACCGAUAACGUCGCAAGACAAAGAGGGGGACCUUCGGGCCUCUUGCAUCAGAUGUGCCCAGAUGGGAUUAGCUCAGUAGUGGGGUAACGGUCACCUAGGCGAAGAUCCCUAGCUGGUCUGAGAGGAUGACCAGCACACUGGGAACUGAGACACGGUCCAGACUCCUAACGGGAGGCAGCAGUGGGGAAUCAUUUGCACAAUGGGCGCAAGCCUGAUGCAGCAUGCCGCGUGUAUGAAGAAGGGCUUCGGGUUGUAAAGUACUUUCAGACGGGGAGGAAAGUGUUGUAGGUUAAUAACAAGAAUUGACGUUACCGCAGGAGGAAGCACCGGGUUAACUCCGUGCCAGAAGCGCGGUAAUACCGGAGGGUGCAAAGCGUUAAAUCCGGGAAUUACCUGGGCGUAAAAGCGGCACGCAGGCAGGGCUGGUGCAAGUCACGNGAUUGUCGAAAUUCCCCACGGGGAUCAAACUUGGGAAACUGGGAUUUNCGAAAUUGGGAAGGGGUUAAAGAAGUUCCUUGUA
rnacentral:rRNA from 1 species